AUUGAACGCUGGCGGCAGGCCUAACACAUGCAAGUCGAACGGUAACAGGAAGAAGCUUGCUUCUUUGCUGACGAGUGGCGGACGGGUGAGUAAUGUCUGGGAAACUGCCUGAUGGAGGGGGAUAACUACUGGAAACGGUAGCUAAUACCGCAUAACGUCGCAAGACCAAAAAGGGGGACUUUCGGGCCUCUUGCCAUCGGAUGGGCCCAGAUGGGAUUAGCUAGUAGGUGGGGUAACGGCUCACCUAGGCGACGAUCCCUAGCUGGUCUGAGAGGAUGACCAGCCACACUGGAACUGAGACACGGUCCAGACUCCUACGGGAGGCAGCAGUGGGGAAUAUUGCACAAUGGGCGCAAGCCUGAUGCAGCCAUGCCGCGUGUAUGAAGAAGGCCUUCGGGUUGUAAAGUACUUUCAGCGGGGAGGAAGGGAGUAAAGUUAAUACCUUUGCUCAUUGACGUUACCCGCAGAAGAAGCACCGGCUAACUCCGUG
rnacentral:rRNA from 1 species